rnacentral:rRNA from 1 species
ACGAAGGGGGCUAGCGUUGCUCGGAAUCACUGGGCGUAAAGGGCGCGUAGGCGGUGAUUUAAGUCGGGGGUGAAAGCCUGUGGCUCAACCACAGAAUGGCCUUCGAUACUGGGUCACUUGAGUCUGGUAGAGGUUGGUGGAACUGCGAGUGUAGAGGUGAAAUUCGUAGAUAUUCGCAAGAACACCGGUGGCGAAGGCGGCCAACUGGACCAGGACUGACGCUGAGGCGCGAAAGCGUGGGUAGCAAACAGGAUUAGAUACCCUGGUAGU